CAGGAGCUGUAUGAUGUCUGUGUCUAUGUGUCCGCUGGUUGUCUAGGUACAGGAGCUGUAUGAUGUCUGUGUCUAUGUGUCCGCUGGUUGUCUAGGUGCAGGAGAUGUAUGAUGUCUGUGUCUAUGUGUCCGCUGGUUGUCUAGGUGCAGGAGCUGUAUGAUGUCUGUGUCUAUGUGUCCGCUGGUUGUCAAGGUGCAGGAGCUGUAUGAUGUCUGUGUCUAUGUGUCCGCUGGUUGUCUAGGUGCAGGAGCUGUAUGAUGUCUGUGUCUAUGUGUCCGCUGGUUGUCUAGGUGCAGGAGCUGUAUGAUGUCUGUGUCUAUGUGUCCGCUGGUUGUCUAGGUGCAGGAGCUGUAUGAUGUCUGUGUCUAUGUGUCCGCUGGUUGUCAAGG